UGGCUCAGUCGGUCAAGCGUCUGACUUCAGCUCAGGUCAUGAUCUCACAGUUCGUGGGUUCAAGUCCCAC
rnacentral:tRNA from 1 species